GAUGAACGCUGGCGGUAUGCUUAACACAUGCAAGUCGAACGGACUCUUCGGGGUUAGUGGCGGACGGGGGAGUAACGCGUGGGAAGCUGGCUUUGGGUUCGGGACAACCACUGGUAACGGUGGCUAAUACCGGAUGUGCCGAGAGGUAAAAGGGAAAUUGCCUGAAGAUGCGCUCGCGUCUGAUUAGCUAGUUGGUGAGCUAAAGGCUCACCAAGGCAGCGGUCAGUAGCUGCGCUGAGAGGAUGACCAGCCACACGGGGACUGAGACACGGCCCAGACGCCUACGGGAGGCAGCAGUGGGGAAUUUCCCGCAAUGGGCGAGCGCCUUGCGGAGCAAUACCGCGUGGGGUAAGAAGGUUCUUGUGUUGUAAACCUCUUUUCUUAGGGAAGAACAAAAUGACGGUACCUAAUGAAUCAGCACCGGCUAACUCCGUG
rnacentral:rRNA from 1 species